rnacentral:rRNA from 1 species
GACGAACGCUGGCGGCGUGCUUAACACAUGCAAGUCGAGCGGUAAGGCCCUUUCGGGGGUACGACGAGCGGCGAACGGGUGAGUAACACGUGGGUGACCUGCCUUCAGCUCUGGGAUAAGCCGUGGGAAACGUAGGGUCGUAAUACCGGAUAUGACUCCAUGAUGCAUGUUGUGGGGUGGAAAGCUUUUGCGGCUGGAGAUGGGCCCGCGGCCUAUCAGCUUGUUAGGNGGGGUGAGGCCUACCAAGGCGACGACGGGUAGCCGGCCUGAGAGGGCGACCGGCCACACUGGGACUGAGACACGGCCCAGACU